rnacentral:rRNA from 1 species
UACGGAGGGGCUAGCGUUGUUCGGAAUUACUGGGCGUAAAGCGCACGUAGGCGGCUUUGUAAGUUAGAGGUGAAAGCCCGGGGCUCAACUCCGGAAUUGCCUUUAAGACUGCAUCGCUAGAAUUGUGGAGAGGUAAGUGGAAUUCCGAGUGUAGAGGUGAAAUUCGUAGAUAUUCGGAAGAACACCAGUGGCGAAGGCGACUUACUGGACACAUAUUGACGCUGAGGUGCGAAAAGCGUGGGGAGCAAACAGG